UACGUGGGGGGGCAAGCGUUGUUCGGAAUUAUUGGGCGUAAAGAGCUCGUAGGCGGUUUGUCGCGUCGAAUGUGAAAUCCCGGGGCUCAACCCCGGACUUGCGGUGGGUACGGGCAGACUAGAGUGCGGUAGGGGAGACUGGAAUUCCUGGUGUAGCGGUGAAAUGCGCAGAUAUCGAGGAGGAACACCGGUGGCGAAGGCGGGUCUCUGGGCCGAUACUGACGCUGGAG
rnacentral:rRNA from 1 species